GAACAGGACUUUUAUUUUGGUCUGUUGGUAUGACGUCAUAAGGCUGCGCUGCAUCUUUUGUGAUUCGGCUGAAGAGGAAAGGACGAAGUGUGCAGAAACCCUCCUGGUGAAGCGGCAGAGAUCCAUGCGACACAAUUUAAUAAAGAUGGCUUAUAUUAAAGAGGAGAAUGAAGACAUAAAGAUUGUUAUUAUUAAAGAGGAGAGUGAAGACUCAAGGAUUGAAGAAACAUUCAGUGUGAAACAAGAAGAAA